UCCCUGGUGGUCCAGUGAUUAAGACUCUGAGCUCCCAAUGCAGGGGUCAUGGGUUCUAUUCCUGACUGGGGAA
rnacentral:tRNA from 1 species